GACCGCGUAGCUCAGUUGGCAGAGCAUUGGGCUAACAUUCCAAAGGUCGUAGGUUCGAUUCCCACCGUGGACA
rnacentral:tRNA from 1 species